UACGGGGGGGGCAAGCGUUGUUCGGAAUUACUGGGCGUAAAGGGCUUGUAGGUGGCUUGUUAAGUCAGACGUGAAAUCCCUCAGCUUAACUGGGGAACUGCGUCUGAUACUGAUGAGCUUGAGUGCAGGAGAGGAACGCGGAAUUCCAGGUGUAGCGGUGAAAUGCGUAGAUAUCUGGAGGAACACCGGUGGCGAAGGCGGCGUUCUGGACUGCAACUGACACUGAGAAACGAAAGCCAGGGGAGCAAACGGG
rnacentral:rRNA from 1 species